GGUCCCAUAGCUUAGCACGGUUUGAGCGUCCGGCUGAUAACCGGAAGGUCAUGAGUUCAAAUCUCAUUGGGACCA
rnacentral:tRNA from 1 species